GACGAACGCUGGCGGCGUGCUUAACACAUGCAAGUCGAACGGAAAGGCCCUGCUUUUGUGGGGUGCUCGAGUGGCGAACGGGUGAGUAACACGUGAGUAACCUGCCCUUGACUUUGGGAUAACUUCAGGAAACUGGGGCUAAUACCGGAUAGGAGCUCCUGCUGCAUGGUGGGGGUUGGAACGUUUCGGCGGUUGGGGAUGGACUCGCGGCUUAUGAGCUUGUUGGUGGGGUAGUGGCUUACCAAGGCAUUGACGGGUAGCCGGCACGAGAGGGUGACCGGCGACAUUGGGACUGAGGGACGGCCCAGACUGCUACGGGAGGCAGCAGUGGGGAAUAUUGCACAAUGGGCGGAAGCCGGAGGCAGCAACGCCGCGGGCGGGAUGACGGCCUUCGGGUUGAAAACCGCUUUCGCCUGUGACGAAGCGUGAGUGACGGUAAUGGGUAAAGAAGCACCAGCUAACUACGUG
rnacentral:rRNA from 1 species